rnacentral:misc_RNA from 1 species
GUGGAGAGUGAUAAGAGUUUAUACCUGAUAUAUAGAGUUGAGAAUCAAUAGUAAUAUACAUAUCAAGGUGUUUUCUAUCACAGCUUCCUUUAAAUAAAGAACACAUAUUCUGUCUUAGAACCCAAUGGAAAAUUGACAACUGCAAUGCUUGGUAUUACUAUAAAUUCUAUAAAAUAAAAAAGAAGUAAUAUCUAUCUACAUCUACAUAUUCAUAUACAUAUCAUGUUAUGACAUGCAUUAAAGCUGCCAGCAACAGUGAAAGGUAAAGCUGCUGAAUGAAUAGUCACAGGUCUUCCAAUGAUAAGCAGCAGCUUUGUCCACCCAGCCAAACGGGCUAAGUAAAUUGGGGCAGGUCAUUUGAAAGCGAG